rnacentral:rRNA from 1 species
CUUAAAGCAUCUAAGCACGAAACUUGCCCCGAGAUGAGUUCUCCCUGACUCCUUGAGAGUCCUGAAGGAACGUUGAAGACGACGACGUUGAUAGGCCGGGUGUGUAAGCGCAGCGAUGCGUUGAGCUAACCGGUACUAAUGAACCGUGAGGCUUAACCUUACAACGCCGAAG